UACGAAGGGGGCUAGCGUUGCUCGGAAUCACUGGGCGUAAAGCGCACGUAGGCGGGUCCUUAAGUCAGGGGUGAAAUCCCGGAGCUCAACUCCGGAACUGCCUUUGAUACUGGGGAUCUUGAGUCCGGAAGAGGUGAGUGGAACUCCGAGUGUAGAGGUGAAAUUCGUAGAUAUUCGGAAGAACACCAGUGGCGAAGGCGGCUCACUGGUCCGGUACUGACGCUGAGGUGCGAAAGCGUGGGGAGCAAACAGG
rnacentral:rRNA from 1 species